rnacentral:rRNA from 1 species
UAAGGGCGCACGGUGGAUGCCUUGGCACUAGGAGCCGAUGAAGGACGGGACUAACACCGAUAUGCUUUGGGGAGCUGUACGUAAGCUAUGAUCCAGAGAUUUCCGAAUGGGGGAACCCAACAUCUUUAAUAGGAUGUUACGAUUGUGUGAAUACAUAGCACAUUCGAGGUAGACGCAGAGAACUGAAACAUCUAAGUACCUGCAGGAAGAGAAAGAAAAUUCGAUUCCCUGAGUAGCGGCGAGCGAAACGGGAAAAGCCCAAACCAGCAAGCUUGCUUGUUGGGGUUGUAGGACUCCAAUAUGGUAGUUCUUUCAGAUAGUCGAAUGACUUGGAAAAGUCAGUCAAAGAGGGUAAAAACCCCGUAGACGAAAUGUGGAAGACACCUAGGAGGAUCCUGAGUACGGCGGAACACGAGAAAUUCCGUCGGAAUCCGGGAGGACCAUCUCCCAAGGCUAAAUACUCCCUAGUGACCGAUAGUGAACCAGUACCGUGAGGGAAAGGUGAAAAGCACCCCGGAAGGGGAGUGAAAUAGAACCUGAAACCGUGUGCCUACAACAAGUCAAAGCCCGUUAAUGGGUGAUGGCGUGCCUUUUGUAGAAUGAACCGGCGAGUUACGAUUGCAUGCGAGGUUAAGUUGAAGAGACGGAGCCGCAGCGAAAGCGAGUCUGAAUAGGGCGUUUGAGUAUGUAGUCGUAGACCCGAAACCAUGUGAUCUACCCAUGUCCAGGUUGAAGGUGCGGUAAAACGCACUGGAGGACCGAACCCACGUACGUUGAAAAGUGCGGGGAUGAGGUGUGGGUAGCGGAGAAAUUCCAAACGAACUUGGAGAUAGCUGGUUCUCUCCGAAAUAGCUUUAGGGCUAGCCUCGGAAUUGAGAAUGAUGGAGGUAGAGCACUGUUUGGACUAGGGGCCCAUCUCGGGUUACCGAAUUCAGAUAAACUCCGAAUGCCAUUCAUUCAUAUCCGGGAGUCAGACUGUGAGUGAUAAGAUCCAUAGUCGAAAGGGAAACAGCCCAGACCACCAGCUAAGGUCCCAAAAUAUAUGUUAAGUGGAAAAGGAUGUGGGGUUGCACAGACAACUAGGAUGUUGGCUUAGAAGCAGCCACCAUUUAAAGAGUGCGUAAUAGCUCACUAGUCGAGUGACCCUGCGCCGAAAAUGUACCGGGGCUAAACAUAUUACCGAAGCUGUGGAGUACACCUUUAGGUGUAUUGGUAGGAGAGCGUUCUAAGGGCGUUGAAGGCAGAUCGUGAG